GGGGUUGUGGCUCAGCAGUAGAGCGCUCGCUUAGCAUGUGUGAGGACCUGGGUUCAAUUCUCAGCACCA
rnacentral:tRNA from 1 species